rnacentral:rRNA from 1 species
GAUGAACGCUGGCGGCGUGCCUAAUACAUGCAAGUCGAGCGAACAGAUGAGGAGCUUGCUCCUCUGACGUUAGCGGCGGACGGGUGAGUAACACGUGGAUAACCUACCUAUAAGACUGGGAUAACUUCGGGAAACCGGAGCUAAUACCGGAUAAUAUAUUGAACCGCAUGGUUCAAUAGUGAAAGACGGUUUUGCUGUCUCUUAUAGAUGGAUCUGCGCCGCAUUAGCUAGUUGGUACGGUAACGGCUUACCACGGCAACGAUGCGUAGCCGACCUGAGAGGGUGGUCGGCCACACUGGAACUGAGACACGGUCCAGACUCCUACGGGAGGCAGCAGUAGGGAAUCUUACGCAGUGGGCGAAAGCCUGACGGAGCAACGCCGCGUGAGUGAUGAAGAUCUUCGGAUCGUAAAGCUCUGUUAUUAGGGAAGAACAAAUGUGUAAGUAACUAUGCACGUCUUGACGGUACCUAAUCAGAAAGCCACGGCUAACUACGUG